ACAACCAGGUCAUUAAACACUUCACAACCAGGUCCACUAACUACAGUAUAUUAACACAGUCCUACCCUGGAGACAACCAGGUCCACUAACUACAGUAUAUUAACACGGUUCUACCCUGGAGACAACCAGGUCCACUAACUACAGUAUAUUAACACGGUCCUACCCUGGAGACAACCAGGUCCACUAACUACAGUAUAUUAACACAGUCCUACCCUGGAGACAACCAGGUCCACUAACUACAGUAUAUUAACACGGUUCUACCCUGGAGACAACCAGGUCCACUAACUACAGUAUAUUAACACGGUCCUACCCUGGAGACAACCAGGUCCACUAACUACAGUAUAUUAACACGGUCCUACCCUGGAGACAACCAGGUCCACUAACUACAGUAUAUUAACACAGUCCUACCCUGGAGACAACCAGGUCCACUAACUACAGUAUAUUAACACAGUCCUACCCUGGAGACAACCAGGUCCACUAACUACAGUAUAUUAACAUGGUCCUAACCUGGAGACAACCAGUCCAAUAACUACAGUAUAUUAACACUGUCCUACCCUGGAGACAACCAGGUCCACUAACUACAGUAUAUUAACACGGUCCUACCCUGGAGACAACCAGGUCCACUAACUACAGUAUAUUAACACGGUCCUACCCUGGAGACAACCAGGUCCACUAACUACAGUAUAUUAACACGGUCCUACCCUGGAGACAACCAGGUCCACUAACUACAGUAUAUUAACACGGUCCUACCCUGGAGACAACCAGGUCCACUAACUACAGUAUAUUAACACGGUCCUACCCUGGAGACAACCAGGUCCAUUAACUACAGUAUAUUAACACGGUCCUACCCUGGAGACAACCAGGUCCACUAACUACAGUAUAUUAACACGGUCCUACCCUGGAGACAACCAGGUCCACUAACUACAGUAUAUUAACACGGUCCUACCCUGGAGACAACCAGGUCCACUAACUACAGUAUAUUAACACGGUCCUACCCUGGAGACAACCAGGUCCACUAACUACAGUAUAUUAACACGGUCCUAACCUGGAGACAACCAGUCCAAUAACUACAGUAUAUUAACACUGUCCUACCCUGGAGACAACCAGGUCCACUAACUACAGUAUAUUAACACGGUCCUACCCUGGAGACAACCAGGUCCACUAACUACAGUAUAUUAACACGGUCCUACCCUGGAGACAACCAGGUCCACUAACUACAGUAUAUUAACACGGUCCUACCCUGGAGACAACCAGGUCCACUAACUACAGUAUAUUAACACGGUCCUACCCUGGAGACAACCAGGUCCAUUAACUACAGUAUAUUAACACGGUCCUACCCUGGAGACAACCAGGUCCACUAACUACAGUAUAUUAACACGGUCCUACCCUGGAGACAACCAGGUCCACUAACUACAGUAUAUUAACACGGUCCUACCCUGGAGACAACCAGGUCCACUAACUACAGUAUAUUAACACGGUCCUACCCUGGAGACAACCAGGUCCACUAACUACAGUAUAUUAACACGGUCCUAACCUGGAGACAACCAGUCCAAUAACUACAGUAUAUUAACACGGUCCUACCCUGGAGACAACCAGGUCCAUUAACUACAGUAUAUUAACACGGUCCUACCCUGGAGACAACCAGGUCCACUAACUACAGUAUAUUAACACGGUUCUACCCUGGAGACAACCAGGUCCACUAACUACAGUAUAUUAACACUGUCCUACCCUGGAGACAACCAGGUCCACUAACUACAGUAUAUUAACACGGUUCUACCCUGGAGACAACCAGGUCCACUAACUACAGUAUAUUAACACGGUCCUACCCUGGAGACAACCAGGUCCAUUAACUACAGUAUAUUAACACGGUCCUACCCUGGAGACAACCAGGUCCACUAACUACAGUAUAUUAACACGGUCCUACCCUGGAGACAACCAGUCCACUAACUACAGUAUAUUAACACUGUCCUACCCUGGAGACAACCAGGUCCACUAACUACAGUAUAUUAACACGGUCCUACCCUGGAGACAACCAGGUCCACUAACUACAGUAUAUUAACACUGUCCUACCCUGGAGACAACCAGGUCCACUAACUACAGUAUAUUAACACUGUCCUACCCUGGAGACAACCAGGUCCACUAACUACAGUAUAUUAACACGGUCCUACCCUGGAGACAACCAGGUCCACUAACUACAGUAUAUUAACACUGUCCUACCCUGGAGACAACCAGGUCCACUAACUACAGUAUAUUAACACGGUCCUACCCUGGAGACAACCAGGUCCACUAACUACAGUAUAUUAACACUGUCCUACCCUGGAGACAACCAGGUCCACUAACUACAGUAUAUUAACACGGUCCUACCCUGGAGACAACCAGGUCCACUAACUACAGUAUAUUAACACAGUCCUACCCUGGAGACAACCAGGUCCACUAACUACAGUAUAUUAACACGGUCCUACCCUGGAGACAACCAGGUCCACUAACUACAGUAUAUUAACACGGUCCUACCCUGGAGACAACCAGGUCCACUAACUACAGUAUAUUAACACAGUCCUACCCUGGAGACAACCAGGUCCAUUAACUACAGUAUAUUAACACAGUCCUACCCUGGAGACAACCAGGUCCACUAACUACAGUAUAUUAACAUGGUCCUACCAUGGAGACAACCAGGUCCACUAACUACAGUAUAUUAACACUGUCCUACCCUGGAGACAACCAGGUCCACAAACUACAGUAUAUUAACAUGGUCCUACCCUGGAGACACGGACC